rnacentral:rRNA from 1 species
AUUGAACGCUGGCGGCAUGCCUUACACAUGCAAGUCGAACGGCAGCACGGGUGCUUGCACCUGGUGGCGAGUGGCGAACGGGUGAGUAAUACAUCGGAACAUGUCCUGUGGGGGAUAGCCCGGCGAAAGCCGGAUUAAUACCGCAUACGAUCUACGGAUGAAAGCGGGGGACCUUCGGGCCUCGCGCUAUAGGGUUGGCCGAUGGCUGAUUAGCUAGUUGGUGGGGUAAAGGCCUACCAAGGCGACGAUCAGUAGCUGGUCUGAGAGGACGACCAGCCACACUGGGACUGAGACACGGCCCAGACUCCUACGGGAGGCAGCAGUGGGGAAUUUUGGACAAUGGGCGAAAGCCUGAUCCAGCAAUGCCGCGUGUGUGAAGAAGGCCUUCGGGUUGUAAAGCACUUUUGUCCGGAAAGAAAUCCUUGGCCCUAAUACGGUCGGGGGAUGACGGUACCGGAAGAAUAAGCACCGGCUAACUACGUG